GCCUGGCUGGCUCAGUUGGUGGAGUGUGUGACUCUUGAUCUCAGGGUCGUGAGUUCGAGCCCCACGUUGGGGG
rfam:Ailuropoda melanoleuca scaffold2764_30, whole genome shotgun sequence.